GAUGAACGCUGGCGGCGUGCCUAAUACAUGCAAGUCGAGCGAACGGACGAGAAGCUUGCUUCUCUGAUGUUAGCGACGGACGGGUGAGUAACACGUGGAUAACCUACCUAUAAGACUGGGAUAACUUCGGGAAACCGGAUCUAAUACCGGAUAAUAUUUUGAACCGCAUGGUUCAAAAGUGAAAGACGGUCUUGCUGUCACUUAUAGAUGUAUCCGCGCUGCAUUAGCUAGUUGGUAAGGUAACGGCUUACCAAGGCGACGAUGCAUAGCCGACCUGAGAGGGUGAUCAGCCACACUGGAACUGAGACACGGUCCAGACUCCUACGGGAGGCAGCAGUAGGGAAUCUUCCGCAAUGGGCGAAAGCCUGACGGAGCAACGCCGCGUGAGUGAUGAAGGUCUUCGGAUCGUAAAACUCUGUUAUUAGGGAAGAACAGAUGUGUAAGUAACUGUGCACAUCUUGACGGUACCUAAUCAGAAAGCCACGGCUAACUACGUG
rnacentral:rRNA from 1 species